rnacentral:sRNA from 1 species
UAUUGAAGUACUCAACCUUUUGUUCCAAUUUGAAAGGAUCAUUGUCUCUGGUAUAAAUUCCUCCUUCUUUAAUAUCAUCAAAACCUAUUUCGCCCAUUUCUGCACUUUGCUUUCAAGCAAUUAGUAAUAAGCUAGCUGUUUCAUCGGGCUU